rnacentral:rRNA from 1 species
AGGUGCCUAUAUCGGUGGUGUCCACCUCUUCCCAUUCCGAACAGAGAAGUUAAGCCCACCAGAGCCGAUGGUACUGCGGUAACACGUGGGAGAGUAGGUCGGUGCCAAAUC